rnacentral:rRNA from 1 species
UACAGAGGUCCCAAGCGUUGUUCGGAUUCACUGGGCGUAAAGGGUGCGUAGGUGGCGAGGUAAGUUUGAUGUGAAAUCUCCGAGCUCAACUCGGAAACUGCAUUGAAUACUAUCUUGCUAGAGGGUUGGAGGGGAGACUGGAAUUCUCGGUGUAGCAGUGAAAUGCGUAGAGAUGUGGAGGAACACCGAUGGCGAAGGCAGCCCCCUGGGUCAAGAUUGACGCUCAUGCACGAAAGCGUGGGGAGCAAACAGG